AUUGAACGCUGGCGGCAUGCCUUACACACGCAAGUCGAACGGUAACAGGUCUUCGGAUGCUGACGAGUGGCGAACGGGUGAGUAAUACAUCGGAACGUGCCCGAGAGUGGGGGAUAACGAGGCGAAAGCUUUGCUAAUACCGCAUACGAUCUCAGGAUGAAAGCAGGGGACCGCAAGGCCUUGCGCUCACGGAGCGGCCGAUGGCAGAUUAGGUAGUUGGUGGGAUAAAAGCUUACCAAGCCGACGAUCUGUAGCUGGUCUGAGAGGACGACCAGCCACACUGGGACUGGGACACGGCCCAGACUCCGACGGGGGGCAGCAGUGGGGAAUUUUGGACAAUGGGCGCAAGCCUGAUCCAGCCAUGCCGCGUGCAGGAUGAAGGCCUUCGGGUUGUAAACUGCUUUUGUACGGAACGAAAAGACUCUGGUUAAUACCUGGGGUCCAUGACGGUACCGUAAGAAUAAGCACCGGCUAACUACGUGCCAGCCGCCGCCGUAAUAC
rnacentral:rRNA from 1 species